UGUGUUGUUAAAUUCUUUUUUCCCCAUGGUUUUUUUUAGAUUUCAAAUUUCAAUCAUAUAUUCCACUUGUGUUCGAACACAUAAUAUUAACCCCUCUAUAUUGAAUCAUGUGAUAAAAAAAAAUGUCAUCAUCAUCCAUAAUGUUAUAUGGAGUAAAAAAGGAAGUGGUGGUGGUGGAUAACCAGCAAAUAAAGAAUCAACAACAAUGUGAUGAUGAUGAUGAUGAUGAUAAUGUUUUUGGAUGACAAAGUUAGGUGGAUAUAGUGUGUGUGUGUGUUUUUAUGUUCAAGAUUUUAAUAUAGCGACGAUGUAAUAUUAUUGGAUGGAUGGUAAAUCAAACAACAAUAACAACAAAAAACAAAUUGAUUCGAUUCGAUUCGAUUCGAGAAAAAACACAUCCGGAUCAUCAUCAAAAAGCUGAACCACUCAUAUCGAGACGUUAAUUUUUUUUUCUUGUGAUCUAAAAAAAAAGCUGAACCGUUGUGUUAGUGUUUGUUUGUAGACAAUCGAGUGGUCAAUUAUU